rnacentral:rRNA from 1 species
AAUCUGGGGUCGCCAGACCUCCGAGUUGUAAUUUGGAGAGGCAUCUUCGGGGAGGAGCGCCGGCCCAUGUUCCUUGGAACAGGACGUCGCAGAGGGUGAGAAUCCCGUGCCAGGCCGGCUGCCUCCUCCAUUGUGAAGUGCCUUCGACGAGUCGAGUUGUUUGGGAAUGCAGCUCCAAGUGGGUGGUAAAUUUCAUCUAAAGCUAAAUACCGGCGGGAGACCGAUAGCGCACAAGUAGAGUGAUCGAAAGAUGAAAAGCACUUUGAAAAUAGAGUCAAAAAGUACGUGAAAUUGUUGAAAGGGAAGCGCUUGAGACCAGACUCGGGCCCGGGCAAACAUCGCGCCCCUCGGGGCCGUGCAAUUGCCUGGGGCCGGGCCAGCAUCAGUUGGCGCGGCGGGACAAAGGCGCGGGGAAUGUGGCUCCCCUCGGGGAGUGUUAUUAGCCCCGCGCUCAAUGCCGCCGACGUCGACUGAGGACAGCGCCUCGGCCUGGAUGCUGGCUUAAUGGCCUUCAGCGACCCGUCUUGAAACACGGACCAAGGAGUCUAACAUCUAUGCGAGUGUUUGGGCGUCAAACCCUUGCGCGGAAUGAAAGUGAGCGGAGGUGGGAACCCCUCGCGGGGCGCACCAUCGACCGAUCCUGAUGUCUUCGGAUGGAUUUGAGUAG